rnacentral:rRNA from 1 species
AUGAACGUUGCGCUCAUGUUGAGAUGGGUCUGGCGGAUCUUAUGCGGCAAGGGAGGACUAUGGCUACAACUCAUUCAGGCGAAAUACCUUAGGGGUGAACCGCUCUUGGCAUGCAACCGGACGGAGGGCUCACAAUUCUGGCGAGCCAUCCAAAGGAUUAAGGAGGACAUCCGCCUAGGGAUCUCCUUCUCCUUAGGGAACGGAAAAGGGAUCCAAUUUUGGUUGGAUCCCUGGCUGGGUACUGAGCCAUUACGCGUUUGCUUCCGUGGCUUAAUCUCGAUUUAUGUGGAUCCAUCUAUACUAGUGUCUACAGCUUUCCAAGCAGGACAGUGGAACAUCCGGUUUCGUUGCACCUUUGGACAAGCCGAGAGUAAUGACUGGAAUAGAUUGUGGGCCGCCCUCCCCUCAUGCUUCCAGAUUAUCCGGACAUGGUAUCCUGGCGGCUUGCGCCGACGGAGGAGUUCUCAAUGA